GUGAGGGCGGUGCUGACGUACGCGGCUCCGGCGUCGUGCGCAGGCAGGCGAGGCGCGGCGGCGGGCGGGAGCGCCCUGGGAGCCCAGAGGCUCCUCAGUGAGAGCAGCGCCGCGACCUUUGCAGAGGCGUGACAGCGGGGCGGCCGAAGUUGGCCGCGGGCCGCCGGCCACUCGCCCUCCCCAGGACGGGGCAGAAUCUCCCGCAGCAAAAGGUCGCUCUGCUCCCUGCUUCUAGUCAGGGUUCGGUGGCCUUAUUUUGAAUGAAGAGCAUGAAGAAAGGGUAUUGCUCAUCUAGGUGAUGAUAAAUUCAUUUGUGCCUCCCCGCCCCCACCCAGAAUACUGACUGCUCCCUAUGUAGAGUCUUAAUCCAUCUUAGACAUUGAUUUUCAUGGACUACUUCAUACAAUAGUGAUCUGGAACCCUUGAAUGGUUACCAUCGUCCACUUAAUUGCCUAAGACAAGACACAAGACAUGGGAGUCCAUUGAAAGUACCAAAGAUGUUAAAAAAAAGAGAGAAAUAAAGAAAAUCUUAAAGAGGAAAAAUGAUAGUAUUGCCAUAUGAGAAAUGAAUACUCAAAUAUGUGAAGCACAGAUGACCAAACUGAAGCAAAAACUUCUCAGAAUGGAGCCUCUUCAGAAGACUUCCCCUCUGAGGAGCCUCCUUGACAAGUCCUCUGCUCAUUCCUCUGUGUUUCCCAAUGAACCUGUGCCUCCCUCUGCUGAAGCAAAUAGCAGUCUGCUAUGUCUCUCCUGUGAGACAGUAGGUGCAUUGUCUCUCACACCUUCUUUCUCUAUCUGCAGAGAUUAUCCCUGGUUUGAUACAUAAGAUGUGCUUACAAAGUGUUACACAAAUGAAGAGUUUAAUUUCUCUGAGGUUAAGGUUUUCCAUCUCUAAAAUGGGAAUACUAAUAAUAUAUGAUAUUGGGGUUUCCAAGAACCUUCUUUAGAAAAGAGGCUGGCCCUUCCCUCUUUAAUAAUAACAGCAAUAGGUUUUGUUAUUGAGUACCUAUUAUAUGUGCCAAAUGCCAAAUGCACUUUUAUUGUAUUAUCAUUAUCUCUUUUAUUAUCUCGUUUGUCUUAUGCCCUGUGUUAGUCAGCUUUCUAUAGCUGUGACAAGAUACUUGAGAUAAUCAAUUUAAAAGGAGGAAAGAUUUAUUUUGCCUUGUGUUUCAGAGGUUUCGGGUUAUGGUCACUUGGCUCAUUUGUUUUUGGGCCCAUGGUGGCGCAGUGCAAUCACUGUGGAAGCAUACAGUGGAACAAAGCUGCUCACCUCAUGGUAGCCUGGAAACAAAAACAGAAGCGGCUGUUGGCCGCAUGUACCUUCCUAAGGCAUACCCUUAUGAUCCAACAUCCUCCCACUCAGCUCUACAUCUUGAAGGUUUCACUACUUCCCUCUAGUGUCACAGGCUGGCAACCAGGUCUUUACAUGUGUUUUUCUGGGGACAUCAAAACCAUUGUUUCUCUUGUGUGAGAAUUCCAAACUAUAUGAAUAAGGAGAAAAAUGGAGGAUAGAUAUUAGGAAGUGGGAAGAACUUGUUCAAAAAGAAAGGGGAACAGGAGAUGGGAGAGAGGAAAGGAAAGGAGAUU